rnacentral:rRNA from 1 species
CCUACGGGUGGCAGCAGUGAGGAAUAUUGGUCAAUGGGCGCGAGCCUGAACCAGCCAAGUAGCGUGAAGGAUGACUGCCCUACGGGUUGUAAACUUCUUUUAUAAAGGAAUAAAGUGACGCACGUGUGCCUUUUUGAAUGUACUUUAUGAAUAAGGAUCGGCUAACUCCGUGCCAGCAGCCGCGGUAAUACGGAGGAUCCGAGCGUUAUCCGGAUUUAUUGGGUUUAAAGGGAGCGUAGAGGGGUUGUUAAGUUAGUUGGGAAAGUUUGCGGCUCAACCGGAAAAUUGCAAUUGAUACUUGCAGCCUUGAGGACAGUUGAGGGAGGCGGAAUUCGUGGUUUAGCGGUGAAAUGCUUAGGUAUCCCGAAGAACUCCGAUUGCGAAGGGAGCCUACUAAACUGCCACUGACAGUGAUGCUCGAAAGUGGUGGGAUCAAACAGGAGUAGAUAACCCGGGUAGUC